UUUUGGAUGUUAACAUCGGAAAACUCGCACCGUGAUAUUGUCAACUUCACAAUUUCACUGCGACUGUUCCCAUGUUACUUCCAGUU
rnacentral:pre_miRNA from 1 species